GUUGCUGCGGUUAAAAAGCUCGUAGUUGGAUUUCGGAGUUGUUAUCUGAACCUUCUCGCCAUAAAAAGUGGGGGGGCUAAGGUAGCAGUAGUUUUCAUCAUAGUCCACCAGGAUACUCUCUUGGUGUGUACUGGGUGUUAACCUCCUUUUUUCUGGUACUUGCUAUCCAGCAAUGGGUAGUUUUGUCCAGAUAGUUUACUUUGAAAAAUUAGAGUGUUCAAAGCAGGCAUAAUUGGCAUCAUGAAUACAUUAGCAUGGGAUAAUAGAAUAUGACAUUGGUCUUAUUUUGUUGGUUUCUAAGGCCAAAGUAAUGAUUGAUAGGGAUAGUUGGGGCCGCUCGUAUUGAGUUGUCAGAGGUGAAAUUCUAGGAUUUACUCAAGACGAACUAAUGCGAAAGCAUUCGGCAAGGAUGUUUUCAUUAAUCAAAGAACGAAAGUUGGGGGAUCGAAGAUGAUCAGAUACCGUCGUAGUCUCAACCAUAAACUAUGUCAACCGAGGAUCCGGUAGCGUUACAU
rnacentral:rRNA from 1 species